rnacentral:rRNA from 1 species
GAUGAACGCUAGCGGCAGGCCUAACACAUGCAAGUCGAGGGGCAGCACAGAAACAGCAAUGUUUUGGUGGCGACCGGCGGACGGGUGCGUAACGCGUAUGCAACCUACCUUUAACAGGGGGAUAACGGAGAGAAAUUUCCACUAAUACCCCAUAACAUCGAUCAAGGCAUCUUGAUUGGUUGAAAACUCCGGUGGUUAAAGAUGGGCAUGCGUUGUAUUAGGUAGUUGGUGAGGUAAUGGCUCACCAAGCCUACGAUACAUAGGGGGACUGAAAGGUUAGCCCCCCACACUGGUAAUGAAGCACGGACCAGACUCCUACCGGAGGCAGCAGUGAGGAAUAUUGGUCAAUGGGGGCAACCCUGAACCAGCCAUGCCGCGUGCAGGAAGACGGCUCUAUGGGUUGUAAGCUGCUUUUAUACGAGGGUAAUUGCGCGCACGUGUGCGUGUUUGAAAGUAUCGUAUGAAUAAGGAUCGGCUAACUCCGUGCCAGCCGCCGCAGUAA